rnacentral:rRNA from 1 species
GCUGGUGUCUAUGACGCUGAGGAUCCACCCGUUCCCAUACCGAACACGGCAGUUAAGCUCAGCGGUGCCCAAAAUACUUGGUGGGAAGCUGCCUGGGAAGAUAGGUCGAUGCCAGCA